rnacentral:rRNA from 1 species
GCAUAUCAAUAAGCGGAGGAAAAGAAACCAACAGGGAUUGCCCCAGUAACGGCGAGUGAAGCGGCAACAGCUCAAAUUUGAAAUCUGGCCCCUAGGGCCCGAGUUGUAAUUUGCAGAGGAUGCUUUUGGCGAGGCGCCGCCCGAGUUCCCUGGAACGGGACGCCGCAGAGGGUGAGAGCCCCGUCUGGCUGGCCGCCGAGCCUCUGUAAAGCUCCUUCGACGAGUCGAGUAGUUUGGGAAUGCUGCUCAAAAUGGGAGGUAUAUGUCUUCUAAAGCUAAAUACCGGCCAGAGACCGAUAGCGCACAAGUAGAGUGAUCGAAAGAUGAAAAGCACUUUGAAAAGAGGGUUAAACAGUACGUGAAAUUGUUGAAAGGGAAGCGCUCGUGACCAGACUUGGGGCGGGAGGAUCAUCCGGCGUUCUCGCCGGUGCACUCCGCCCGCCUCAGGCCAGCAUCGGUUCGCGCCGGGGGACAAAGGCGGCGGGAAUGUGGCUCCCCUGGGAGUGUUAUAGCCCGCCGCGCAAUGCCCUGGGGCGGACCGAGGACCGCGCAUUCGUGCAAGGAUGCUGGCGUAAUGGUCACCAGCGACCCGUCUUGAAACACGGACCAAAGGAGUC